rnacentral:rRNA from 1 species
GUGGCGCACGGGUGAGUAACGCGUGGAUAACGUGUCUAUUGGUUCAGGAUAACUUGCGGAAACGCGAGCUAAUACUGGAUAAGUUCUUCCUUGGUUCGCCUUGGAAGAAGAAAGCGGGGUAACUCGCGCCAAAUGAGCGGUCCGCGUCCCAUCAGCUUGUUGGAGAGGUAACGGCUCACCAAGGCAACGACGGGUAGCUGGUCUGAGAGGACGACCAGUCACACUGGGACUGAGACACGGCCCAGACUCC